UACGUAGGGUGCAAGCGUUAAUCGGAAUUACUGGGCGUAAAGCGUGCGCAGGCGGUUCUAUAAGACAGAUGUGAAAUCCCCGGGCUCAACCUGGGAACUGCAUUUGUGACUGUAGAGCUGGAGUGCGGCAGAGGGGGAUGGAAUUCCGCGUGUAGCAGUGAAAUGCGUAGAUAUGCGGAGGAACCCCGAUGGCGAAGGCAAUCCCCUGGGCCUGCACUGACGCUCAUGCACGAAAGCGUGGGGAGCAAACAGG
rnacentral:rRNA from 1 species